rnacentral:rRNA from 1 species
CCGGUGCGGCGCGGCUUACCAUGCAAGUCGAACGGGAAAGUGGGCAACCAUGAGUACAGUGGCGUACGGGUGAGCACUUGUGGGUAAUCUACCUCUUAGUGGGGAAUAACCCUGGGAAACCGGGGCUAAUACCGCAUAAGCCUGAGAAGGGAAAGCAGCAAUGCGCUGAGAGAGGAGCCCGCGGCCGAUUAGCUAGUUGGGAGGGUAAAGGCCUACCAAGGCAGAGAUCGGUAGCCGGCCUGAGAGGGCACACGGCCACACUGGCACUGAAACACGGGCCAGACUCCUACGGGAGGCAGCAGUGGGGAAUCUUGCACAAUGGGGGCAACCCUGAUGCAGCGACGCCGCGUGAGCGAUGAAGCCCUUCGGGGUGUAAAGCUCUUUCGUCAGGGAAGAUGAUGACGGUACCUGGAGAAGCAGCUGCGGCUAACUACGUGCCAGCAGCCGCGGUAAUACGUAGGCAGCGAGCGUUGUUCGGAGUUACUGGGCGUAAAGGGUGUGUAGGCGGUUCUUUAAGUUUGGUGUGAAAUCUCCCGGCUC